rnacentral:rRNA from 1 species
UAGGGAAUCUUGGUCAAUGGGCGCAAGCCUGAACCAGCGAUGCCGCGUGUGCGAAGAAGGCCCUAGGGUUGUAAAGCACUUUCAGUCGCGAAGAAAAGCUUAAGGUUAAUAACCUUGAGUCUUGACGUUAACGACAGAAGAAGGUCCGGCUAACUCCGUGCCAGCAGCCGCGGUAAUACGGAGGGAUCGAACGUUAAUCGGAAUUACUGGGCGUAAAGCGCGCGUAGGCGGCUUGUUAAGUGGGAUGUGAAAGCCCCGGGCUUAACCUGGGAACUGCAUUCCAAACUGGCAAGCUAGAGUAUGGUAGAGGGAGGUAGAAUUUCCUGUGUAGCGGUGAAAUGCGUAGAUAUAGGAAGGAAUACCGAUGGCGAAGGCAGCCUCCUGGACCAAUACUGACGCUGAGGUGCGAAAGCGUGGGGAGCAAACAGGAUUAGAUACCCCCGUAGUCC